GCCCAUGCAUGACCCUGCCUCCUAGCCUCCUGCCUGGCCUGAGGGGAGCAACCCCUGGCCGACGACUCCCUCUCCUGGAAACUCUCCAUCAGGGUGUCCCUGGGGCUAUCCUGGUGUCCUGCCCUGACUGCAGUCUCCGUCUCAUCUGCACCUGGCUGUGAAGCAGGCUUGCCUCCACCCCGGCCCUGGGUCCAUGUCCCACGCUGACCUCCUGCCCAAGGCCCACUCUCCUCUGCCCACCUCCAGAAAACCCAUGCUCUGACUGCCCCUACAGCUCCACUCACUGGCCCAGAACUCUGCUCUGAGCAGCUCCUCAGCUCUUUGUGAAUGUUCAGAACUCCUCCAGCUCUUCCUGGCUCACACUGAGCCUCUGAUGUUUCUUCACAAGCCUCACAAGCCCAGUGGGCCCCAGGUUCCUCUUCUUGCCCUGCUCUCUGAGCCUGAUGCCUGUGGCCCCUGACUCCUCCUGCCUCCCUUGCCAGCCAUGUGCAAAGCCACCCCAAAGGCUACUGAUUUCCCUGCCUAGCUCAUGGGACAUGAAUUUCUCCCUUGUUUCAGCCACCGGCAUCCCAGGCCAGGACUCCUCAUGGCCUCACUUUUCCACUUAUGCCUGCCCUGCCCCUCGAAUCUGCUCCACGAUUUGGGCAGGACAGGCAGAAGUGGAUAAGUGAGGACACUUCUCACUCAUGGGGAGAACACGACUGUGUUGCCCCAUGUUGAAGCUGUGUGAUGGCUCUGCUCUUUUCUCAGGGUAGGGGCCGUCACCUUCAACACCUUUCGGGUCCUGCCAACCAUCCCAGCCCCACUCUGCCCCACUGUCCACUCACAUGCUCCUCAUUCAUUCAGUCAGUCAACAAAUAUCUUUUAAGCACCUGCUUUCCUUCAAGAACAACUGUGGGUAUAACAGUGAAGAAAAUAUUCAAAAAUUCCUGCCCUCAUGGAGCUUACAUUUGAGAGAUAAGAAGCAGAUGGCAGCAAGAUAAUAAGUAGCACAUUCGUGGGUUAAAUGGAGUUAAAUGCCUGGGAGAAAAUGAAGCAGGGAAGCGAAAAGCGGAAUGCCAAGGUCUCAGGGGAGGGGCCAUCAGGGAAGGCCCUGUCAAGAUGACAGAAGGAGGCAGGAGUCACCAGGCAGUUACCCCUGCCAAGGUCCCAUGCGAGUGCAUGUCUGUGUGCCCAUGGGCAGUGAGGAGGGUGGUGUAGCUGGGGCAGCUGACCAUGGGUGAACAGCAGGGGGCCUUGCUGGGGACAGGCUGGCUCAUGGAGGGCCCCAGGGGUCACUUCUGGACUUGCAAGUUUAGGUAGUUAAACUCACCUGAUGAGGGGGGAAGGGAGGCAGACAGGCUGGAAGGCAGCUGAGAUAUUUUGUGGCCACCCCACAGGGUCACAGUGCUCCCUGGAACCCCAUACUUACUCUGAAGACAGCACCCCACCAUGUACCCCUUCCUUCUGCCAUGGCCACAUGAGCCUGCAAGAGCUGCCAGGCUGACAUGGGGCUUUCUGGCCACAGUGACUGAUCCAGGGAUGGGAAGAGAUGUAGCCUUGGCGUUGGAAGUUUUCAAGUCUUGGGUAUGUCUGCAUGCACAGUAUUGGCAGCGUGAAAAUGGACUUCAAAGGAGGAAUGUGUCACUAUGAGCUCUCUGCCAUGUGAGGGCGCCAUCCCACAAGGGAAGGAGAGGAGAGCUGGCUGGACAGCAGCACUCAUGUACAGAAUGCCAGUGGUCCCGUGGUACAGGCUGUCAUGGAAAUGCAGAGCAGAGCCACAUAUGGCCAUGUCACUCAGGCUCACGGCAGAAGAGACUUCCCUUGUCUUAGAUGAGACUUCAGACUUGGACUUUUGGGUUAAUGCUAGAAUAAGUUAAACUUUGGGAGACUGUUGGGAAGGCAUGAUUGAGUUUUUAAAUGUGAGAAGGCCAUGAGAUUUGGGAGGGGCUGGGGGUGUAAUGAUAUGGUUUGGCUCUUUUUCCCCACCCAAAUCUCUUCUCUAAUUGUAAUCCACAUGUAUCAAGGGAGGGACCUGGUGGGAGGUGAUUGAAUCAUGAGGCAGUUUCCCCUAUACUGUUCUCAUGAUAGUGAAUGAGUUCUUAUGGGAUCUGAUUGUUUAAAAAUAUAGCACUUUCACCUCCCACCUCUCUCCUGUUGCCAUGUAAGGCGUGCCUUGCUUUCCCUUCACCUUCCACCAUGAUUGUAAGUUUCCUGAGGCCUCCCUAACCAUGAGGAACUAUGAGUCAAUUAAACCUCUUUUC
rnacentral:lncRNA from 1 species